rnacentral:rRNA from 1 species
CCUACGGGGGGCAGCAGUGAGGAAUAUUGGUCAAUGGUCGGGGGACUGAACCAGCCAAGCCGCGUGAGGGAUGACGGUACAGAGUAUUGUAAACCUCUUUUGUCAGGGAACAAAGGCGGGGACGUGUCCCCGGCUGCGUGUAUCUGAAGAAAGAGCAUCGGCUAACUCCGUGCCAGCAGCCGCGGUAAUACGGAGGAUGCGAGCGUUAUCCGGAUUUAUUGGGUGUAAAGGGAGCGUAGACGG